CAAAAAAAAACAACAGAGAAGACAAAAAAACAACAACAGUCCCACCCAAUUGUAAACAAAGGACCUAUGAGGGAAGAACAGCACAGCCGUGCUUUAACUAAACACGGCAGUGAAACACAUUUAGCUCCUUAAACAAAGUCCCGGAGGUGUGUUACAAUGUAUGGGUUUCACCCGGUGGGAUUUGAGGGGUGCACCCGGAUGUUUACAUUAUUCUGAAGUUACCCGGUAAAAUGGCGGAACGGCAACUCUGUGUGUGCGUCUUCAUUUAAUAAGAUAUCUAACAUUAAAACAUGGUGGCAGCGGUAAAUCCGAACACAACAACGCUUACGAAUGUCGGAUGAAGAAGUUGAGGUGAAGGAGGAAGCCGAAGACAGCAUUUUACAACGAAAAAGAACGAUGGAUGCAUUCGGUUUGAAACCUCCCGCCACAUUGGACUGGAAUUCUACUUGCCUGGCGAAAACAUGGAAGACGUGGAAAGAUGAGUUUUCACUGUAUGUGGACAUAACGUUAGCAGAUUCUGACGACAAGACAAAGGACAAAACAUCCUUCAGGACUUGACUGAGUUGAGAAGAACGAUAAGCUCCGCCCAUCAAGAACUCCAGCACCAGCCCGAUGUCGAUCAAGGUGAUCUGGUAGUCCGGAGGCAGGUUCCCCUGUAGAACAAGUCACGUAACCGAGGUCCUUAAUCGCCGAAUCUCAGGACAAUCCAGAAUUCUGUCAAUCAAGCCAGUCCUGUCGACUCACCUUUUUUACGUCUCGCACCACAAAGUGCAGCGUGUUGGGGGGUCCGAGCUUCUGCAGGUCGCAAAGAGAAACAGGAAAUAGGGCGUUAGGUAUGCAGGCCGUGUCUCAAAUUGAAAGCCCUCUGUCAGCACACUUCAAUUCACCGACGUCCCACUAGGUGUGAGUUUUUCCUUGCCCUUGUGUGGGCUCUGUACCGAAGAUGUCGUUGUGGUUUGUGCAGCCCUUUGAGACACUUGUGAUUUAGGGCUAUAUAAAUAAUCAUUGAUUGAUAAGUACACCAUGUACACUGUGUACCGUAUUUUUCGGACUAUAAGGCGCACUUAAAAUCCUUUAAUUUCCUUAAAAAAACAACAGUGUGCCUUAUAACCCGGUGCGCCUAAUGUACGGAAUCAUUCUGGUGGUUCUUACCGACCUCAAAGCAAUUUUAUUUGGUACUUGGUGAGAUAACUGUGACCAGUAGAUGGUGGUCACACAUAAUAGAUACGUGUAGACUGCAAUAAGACGCCAGUAAACAACACCAAAACUUUAAAUGUUCCUUCGAAAAUAAAGAAGAUUACACACGGCACUCAAAAAUCUGUCAAAAUGAUUAAGUGUGACUUUGAAUCCGCACAGCUUGAUGGAUU